UUCUAGUUUCUAUAGUCUCUGACAGGGACCCCUGUUUCACAUCUCAAGUUUGGACUUGUUAGAAAUCUCUAGGCACUAGUCUAUCAUUCAGCACCACCUCAUCCAUAGAUAGAUGGUUAAGCCAAGAGGACCAUUCAGGUACUGGAGGACAUGUUAACACUUGUGUGCUAGACAUUGGUGAUAGAUGGGAUCGCCAUCUUCCCCUUAUCGAGUUUGCCAACAACAACAGUUAUCACUCUAGUAUACGCAUAACGCCCUAUGAAGCACUCUAAGGCUGGCCUU
rnacentral:lncRNA from 1 species